rnacentral:lncRNA from 1 species
GUGCUCGGUUCCUCUGCCCCUUUGCAGGCAACUAACCUUCGCUGCCCUGCUUUCGCUGCGUGCCCCCCCCGCCUCCACUUCCAGCUCCAGCUCUCCCCCUCUCCCCCCCCCUCUCCCUCUGAGAGCCUUCACAUCUCAGAGCAAACCUCCCGGCUUCUGCCAGCCGCGAACCUCGAGCGCCCACUAUUUUUAAAACAGGGAACUCAAAACUUUGCGAGGAAAGGGAGCGAGAGCGAGAAGAUUUCCCAAGAACUUGGAAACCAGACGGGGAAGGAGAGAGAGAGAGAGAGAGAGGGAGAGAGAGGAGGAGGAGAAGGAGGAGGAGGAGGAGGUGAAAGAACCGAACAAGGGGGGGGAAAGUUGCACAAGGGCUUCAACUUGGGAGCGAACUUUCGCCGUUCUCCGCCGCGGCGGCCCCCUUCACUUGCUGGCCGCUUUCGUCCCUCCGCUGCCCUCGCGCCAUCCCGGAUCGCCCAGCCAGACGCACGCAGGCGAGCCUUUCCCCCCCACCCCCGCCGCCAAAGGACUGGCAAGAAGCGCACGAAACAGAGAGACCGUCCGGCUCGGCUCGCCUCUGCUCGGCCACGGCUCCCGGGCAGGCUCAUCUCCCGCCCCCCCCCACAGGCAGCGCCGGACGGAGCAAAAGAAGUCGAGAAAAAGCGACCUUUCCCGUUUCCUAACCCUUUCUGCGCUGUCGUGCCCCAGCGGACCUUAUUUAAAGGCGGAACAUCUAGACAGAGACAGGUUCGAAGGAAAUGGCUUGAAAAUCGUUCCAAUGGAGGACGACCAGGGGCUCUUUUCGUCCCCAAAAUCGUGGGAGCUGAGCUACAGGUGGAAGGAAAAAGAGAAAGAAAAAGGGAAAAGAGCUUCAGGAUUAAGGGUUGAAGUUAAGAACAGCAGAGAACCAACUUCUCUUCAUUGCUUACUGCCCUGUGCUGCG